rnacentral:rRNA from 1 species
UCUGACACAGGUGCUGCAUGGCUGUCGUCAGCUCGUGUCGUGAGGUGUUGGGUUAAGUCCGUAACGAGCGCAACCCUUGUCCUUAGUUACCAGCACGUUAUGUGGGCACUCUAAGGAGACUGCCGGUGACAAACCGGAGGAAGGUGGGGAUGACGUCAAGUCAUCAUGGCCCUUACGGCCUGGGCUACACACGUGCUACAAUGGUCGGUACAAAGGGUUGCCAAGCCGCGAGGUGGAGCUAAUCCCAUAAAACCGAUCGUAGUCCGGAUCGCAGUCUGCAACUCGACUGCGUGAAGUCGGAAUCGCUAGUAAUCGUGAAUCAGAAUGUCACGGUGAAUACGUUCCCGGGCCUU